rnacentral:lncRNA from 1 species
UAUACGGAUGCUCUUCAACUGCUUAUCGAAGUCUUUUUUUUGCCCCAGCCGAUAGGUCUCUAGACGUUACAGAGAACCCCGAACAAUCCAAACUGUUAAUCUUCAAUACCCCUUUGUACUUACGAUCUUGUAUCCACUGACUGUCCUGUUAGAUUAACCCAAUAAAUUUCAUUCACUCCGCAUACUCAAUCCUAUAGACACCCCUUUAAUCCUUCAAUCACAGACGUAACUCGAUUUUACAAAACAGUCAAGAGUAUUCAAACCCACUUCA